AGUGAACGCUGGCGGUAGGCCUAACACAUGCAAGUCGAACGGCAGCACAGUAAGAGCUUGCUCUUACGGGUGGCGAGUGGCGGACGGGUGAGGAAUACAUCGGAAUCUACUUUUUCGUGGGGGAUAACGUAUGGAAACUUACGCUAAUACCGCAUACGACCUACGGGUGAAAGCAGGGGAUCUUCGGACCUUGCGCGAUUGAAUGAGCCGAUGUCGGAUUAGCUAGUUGGCGGGGUAAAGGCCCACCAAGGCGACGAUCCGUAGCUGGUCUGAGAGGAUGAUAAGCCACACUGGAACUGAGACACGGUCCAGACUCCUACGGGAGGCAGCAGUGGGGAAUAUUGGACAAUGGGCGCAAGCCUGAUCCAGCCAUACCGCGUGGGUGAAGAAGGCCUUCGGGUUGUAAAGCCCUUUUGUUGGGAAAGAAAAGCAGCAGGUUAAUACCCCGCUGUUCUGACGGUACCCAAAGAAUAAGCACCGGCUAACUUCGUG
rnacentral:rRNA from 1 species